UAUUAUCCUUGACCAUUCGCUAAGGCUGAUGGGAGUUGCGGUCCAACAGCAUUUGGCAGGCAUGCUGUUGGCAGGCAUAAUUUUAGCAUAAUGAGAACAAACCACUGCAAGUAUCAGGCUUGUGCUCUUUUUCCUCUCUUGUUCAUGUGCGGGCAAGCUCGAAAGCUGCUGUUUCCAGUUUCUAAUAAACUGCAGUUUCCCAUUCCUUCCAAACAUGGGAAACUCUGGGGGAGCCCAGUCAGAUGGGCUUCUUCUUCUUCUUCUAACUGUGCUUAGUUAUCAAAGACCCGAAACCACAGUUUGAUCUGAGUUUGUUUCAAGCUGGCAGCUAUGGUCACCUCCAGGCCUCCUAACCUUGUAAAAGCUCUGACAUGGUGGGAUAGAGAAAUGUGUGUUGAUGUUAAAAGGUAAAGGUAAAAGAACCCCUGAACAUUAGGUCCAGUCAUGACCGACUCUGGGGUUGCGGCGCUCAUCUCACUUUAUUGGCCGAGGGAGCCGGCGUAUAGCUUCCAGGUCAUGUGGCCAGCAUGACUAAGCCGCUUCUGGCGAACCAGAGCAGCGCACGGAAACGCCGUUUACCUUCC